UACGGAGGGUCCAAGCGUUAUCCGGAUUCAUUGGGUUUAAAGGGUCCGCAGGCGGGAAGAUAAGUCAGUGGUGAAAUCCUACAGCUCAACUGUAGAACUGCCAUUGAUACUGUUUUUCUUGAAUAUAGAUGAAGUGGGCGGAAUGUGUCAUGUAGCGGUGAAAUGCAUAGAUAUGACACAGAACACCGAUUGCGAAGGCAGCUCACUAAACUAUUAUUGACGCUCAUGGACGAAAGCGUGGGGAGCGAAC
rnacentral:rRNA from 1 species